UACGUAGGGGGCAAGCGUUGUCCGGAUUUAUUGGGCGUAAAGAGCGUGUAGGCGGCCUUACAGGUCCGCUGUGAAAACUCGAGGCUCAACCUCGAGACGUCGGUUGAAACCGUAUGGCUAGAGUCCGGAAGAGGAGAGUGGAAUUCCCGGUGUAGCGGUGAAAUGCGCAGAUAUCGGGAAGAACACCCGUGGCGAAGGCGGCUCUCUGGGACGGUACUGACGCUGAGACGCGAAAGCGUGGGGAGCGAACAGG
rnacentral:rRNA from 1 species